rnacentral:sRNA from 1 species
UGAGCAGUGAUGAAAUUU